rnacentral:lncRNA from 1 species
AACAACAAACAAAGCCAGCAACCAUGAUUAUACACAACAUAGCUAUACGGCUAAAAUGCUACAGCAGCAUCGCUUAGAAGAAUAAAGAAAAAGAAGAACGCAUUUUGAAACCAAAAGAGAUGAAGGGUUACCUGCUUCGGGGCAGCAAAACAGGACUCCCAAGCUAAUAUUAGACUCCAACACCACCGAAAAUCGGACCCUCUAGAAUGAUGAGUAAUUGACAACUCGAAAUAAACUUAUUGGAAAAUCAAAGUUUUACUGCGUUUUCUUCUUCCCCUCCCAGACCCUAAAGAAACAUGUUUCCAACCUAGAUUUAAACAGUAACCCCUUUCCCAAAGAAAGAUCUCCCCAAGCUUCUAACUCCAGAAACUUUUAUUCAAAUUUUCGAACCGUCGCCUCUUCGAGAAAAGAACCCCCAGAAAACCUCUCCAAAUCCCUUACUUUGAAUCAAAAUCGACCCAAACCCUAAAUUUCUCCACUCUUAGAACCUUAGAGCUCCCAGAAAAAUCCUCCUCUUCAGACCCUAAAGAGAGCUAUUUAUAGAAGGGGGGGUUGAGGGUUCGUUUUGAAUCCUCACAAAUCGCACCCCUAUUGUUCUUCUUGAACGGAUUUUCAACAGAUGGCCAACAACCAUUGGGGCAAAAUGAACGAAUGAAAAUUUGCCGAACAGGUAUGAAUCCGAAAAUCACGGAAUUCGGACGUUGGGGGUAACACCUCACUCUCUUUCUAGAAGAUUUCGUACCAAAAUCAUGUGGGAAAGCACGCGACUGUGAAGAGGAAGCAGAAAACGGGUUGAGAUAAGGGGAAUCGGGGGGGAAAUAGGUUGGGGUUUUGCAUGGUUGUUUUCGCAUUGCUGUUGGUGUAGCUUGUACGCGGUUUUUGUCGUGGCUGUUGUUUGUUUUUGGUGAGCUAUAAGCAGCUUUUGCUUAUUGAAGAAGAAAGGAUUAAAUGGUGUGGGCCGGGUAGGUUUUGUAGAUGUUUGUGCUGUUGAAAUUCGGGGCUAAUUUGGCAAAGUCAAAAGGAAAUUGGGCUUGGGCUUGUUAAUUUGAAGAGUGGCUUGGCAAUUUAAAAACUGAAAUUGAGGUUAUUAUAACACACCAAUUUGGCCUGAAAAUGCCCCGUUUAUGCCGUUUUACCCAUUUGACUACCCAAAAUAUCCUUGAAUAAAUAAAAAAAACCACACUGCGACGAUCCCCAACCUCUCUGGCAUACCCCGGUUGAUUUUUGGCCCACGUCACCCCCAAACCCUAGGCUACCCCCGAAGUCGUAGGCUUUAGCUUGAAUACACCCGUUUGCAUCGUUUGACCACCCAAAUGGCCUCGAAUAAAUAAACGAACCCUGGCAUCCUCAGUCAAUUCUUCACCCACGACACCUAUUUUGCGGAGAAAUUUUGACUUUUUGAGAAGAGUUACCACUUAAUUUUAAAAAAAAAUUAAGAAACCUGUAAAGAGUUACUUCAAACGAUCUAAAACCAAAAAAUCAUUUAAGUUAAGAGAUUCUGAAUAAGCGGUUCUUAUUAACGUUUUAGGAAGGUGUUAGGCACCUAAAAUGUCUUCGAUUAACUUCUGAAAUUUGAUUCAUUGAAAAAUGGUUGGUUUGCAAAAAAUUAAGUUUUAGCAAAUUCAUUAGGGGAUUUAACUAGGUUCGUAAAAGGCAUGCAAAACAAAUAAUCAAAAAGAAAGGGGAAGAGAGGAGAAGUAAUGAUUUAGGAUUUGAAGCCCAAACUAUUAAGCCUGUCCUAAUCUAGUUGGGUUUUCAACCUAUUUUUCCUCUCACCUGUCCUAUUUCUAUGUUUUCUGGCCCUUUGGCUCGAGUUUUCACUUUACCUGUAUUAAAUACAACUUUGGCUUCGAGGCCCAAAUGAAUGAAAAAUGAAUAAACAAAAUAAAAUAAAUAAUAAAUAAUAAAAAAACAACAACACUAAUUAAACAAAAUGAAAUAAUAAAUGAGACUUUUGUCACUUAGCCGCUUCAAAUACGGGACUUUAACCCGUUCCUUUUCUUUCGACUCUUUGUAUUUGCGCGCUAUUUAUCCGGCUUUGGGCUCUUUUUCUGGAUUGACCCAACAAGAUGGGCCUCACUGGCCCAUGAUGAAUGUGCAAGAGGGAGAGAGUUCAUGUAGGACUCAGUCGAAAGUAGGAGAGAUUAAUGUGCAGGCCCGAAGCGCAGUACACCAUACAGAUAUCCAACACAACAAAUCAAUAACAAAAGACAUGGAAUUAUUGUAAUUUUAAACAACAUAGCAAAUAGUAUGCAAAAGUAUAGAAAGUAAAAGAAACGCAAUUAUGGCUAGCACCAAUAUAUAAAUGAAACAUUUAAGACUACAUUUGUAAGAAUACUCAUAAACAGGAAUAAGCAAAUAAGGAGACGUACAAUAGAAUUGGGAAUUUAAAAUAAAUCUCUUAAGCGACCUAUUCAUAACACUAGUUGGGGAAAGAGCCAUUCUUUUCAGAGAGAUAAACCAGAGCCCCUCCCUGUACAAUUUCUUCAAAAAGGAUACAACUCCUAAACAUACCAUACCAAAAAUCGGAUAGCUUGGAACAGCGAACAACGAAAUACAAUAAUGACUUACUUAAGAAAGAGUGAAUGAAACUUGACAUAAGAGUUGUUCAAACAAGCCAAGACUCAAUAAGUUUGGAAGUUGAAGAAUAAGCAUAUUUGCACUACAGUGAGCAAGUAAGUAGCAGACCCCUGAGCAGCUAAGAAGGUCUUAAUAAUUAUCAAUCGAAUCGAAACAUGAAACUUUAAUCACAAAAGUCAGGUAAAAAAAAAUAAUUCCAACAGCCUGAAACUUUAAACACGAAACCAACUUCAGUAGGAUACUAGCGAUCCGAAACAGAUCGAAGAACCUAAGACCUUAGCUAACAAACCCGCGUUAACAAGAUACCAGUUAUUCCAAACAACAAUCAGAAGCACGAACUUCACAAAAAUGUAUGGUCUUUAAGACCUCAACAACCAACAACGCCAGCAACCACGAUUAUACACAACAUAGCUAUACGGCUAAAAUGCUACAGCAGCAUCGCUUAGAAGAAUAAAGAAAAAGAAGAACGCAUUUUGAAACCAAAAGAGAUGAAGGGUUACCUGCUUCGGGGCAGCAAAACAGGACUCCCAAGCUAAUAUUAGACUCCAACACCACCGAAAAUCGGACCCUCUAGAAUGAUGAGUAAUUGACAACUCGAAAUAAACUUAUUGGAAAAUCAAAGUUUUACUGCGUUUUCUUCUUCCCCUCCCAGACCCUAAAGAAACAUGUUUCCAACCUAGAUUUAAACAGUAACCCCUUUCCCAAAGAAAGAUCUCCCCAAGCUUCUAACUCCAGAAACUUUUAUUCAAAUUUUCGAACCGUCGCCUCUUCGAGAAAAGAACCCCCAGAAAACCUCUCCAAAUCCCUUACUUUGAAUCAAAAUCGACCCAAACCCUAAAUUUCUCCACUCUUAGAACCUUAGAGCUCCCAGAAAAAUCCUCCUCUUCAGACCCUAAAGAGAGCUAUUUAUAGAAGGGGGGGUUGAGGGUUCGUUUUGAAUCCUCACAAAUCGCACCCCUAUUGUUCUUCUUGAACGGAUUUUCAACAGAUGGCCAACAACCAUUGGGGCAAAAUGAACGAAUGAAAAUUUGCCGAACAGGUAUGAAUCCGAAAAUCACGGAAUUCGGACGUUGGGGGUAACACCUCACUCUCUUUCUAGAAGAUUUCGUACCAAAAUCAUGUGGGAAAGCACGCGACUGUGAAGAGGAAGCAGAAAACGGGUUGAGAUAAGGGGAAUCGGGGGGGAAAUAGGUUGGGGUUUUGCAUGGUUGUUUUCGCAUUGCUGUUGGUGUAGCUUGUACGCGGUUUUUGUCGUGGCUGUUGUUUGUUUUUGGUGAGCUAUAAGCAGCUUUUGCUUAUUGAAGAAGAAAGGAUUAAAUGGUGUGGGCCGGGUAGGUUUUGUAGAUGUUUGUGCUGUUGAAAUUCGGG